UGCUUUAUAGAUGAAUAUUUGCAGCAGACUAUGACUGCUCAGUUUUUUAAUAAUACUUCUCUAAAAUGCUAUAUACUCAUUCAGUUGACUACAGACUGUUGAGAUAGGAUUUGAUUAUUUUUUCAGGAUAAUUUGACAAUUUCCAGGACAUGGUGAUAUCAGCAUAAAAGAUGAAGCUCAACAAGAUCUUCAUGAAACACAAAGAAAACAGUCUGGACAAAUUCCUACUUAAACCAUUACAUAAACUUACACUAAUAUAUUCAAUCAGUCAGCCUCUAUGAGAAGGAAUGGAAAUGUUUCUUUUUUUUUUUUUUUUUCUCUCUUAAUAUUAUUAGUCCUGUUCAACCUUCCAUCUAAACUAGCUAAACGAUACAACGAGUACAAUCUAAACUUCAUUAAAAUGUAGAACAUCAGGGAACUUCUGUUUUUUUGGGCUUCAAAAUCCAGAUGUUAUUGCACCUUGGAGUAUGAGGAGAGAAAUAGUCAUCCACAGUGCAGUUCCAGACUACUUCACACUAAAUGAAUGUAAUCUUCAACCAGACAUCCUAAGGAGAGUACAUACUGUGACAAUCUGCUGGGUAAGCAGAGUAAUUUCAUUAUUUUUAACAUAUGUGCUCUGGUAAUGAAUACUUGAUAUUUCCUUUUACUCCUACUUGUGUCAUCAAAUUUGAGUAGAGAUCCAUGAAAAGUUAACUUGAAAAAGAAAGAAAGAAAUAGUGAUACAGAC
rnacentral:lncRNA from 1 species